UUUUUUUUAAUUCUUUUCUUUCUUUUUUCUCUGAAGCCAUCUCUGAGUCCGGCCACAAGGCCGUCGUCGCUCUACCGUGGUCACCGGUCAUUGACGAUGGUCCGUCGCCUCCGAUGGCCAGAGUUACAAAAAAAAUAGGCUUUUUCAGCCAUUUUUGACCCUCCAAGACCCAGAUUUGAAGGUGUUUCCUUAUAAACUCAAAAAAAAUCCAAAAAACUUUCGGCCUUUUCUCUUUUUUUUGAACGCACACCCCUCACACCCUUUUUUCGUCGAAGCCUAGGCGGAACCCUAGUGGAUUCUGAGGCUUUUGGGGUCGGAAAAGACCUCCAACGACGGAGGGAAGCGAAACGACACAUGUAAAAAAAAUCAACUUUAUUUUUUUAUUUAUUAUGCUUUUCGAAUAAAAAAAUGAAUCACCUUCGUUUUUCUUUUAACAUUUUGUUUUUUGUAUUCAAUUUUUUUGAAUCUAUUCGAUUGCUUUUGUAAAAAAAAUACAUGUGGUUGUUAUGGCUUUUAUAGCCAAAUAUAUUACAGAAUAUUCAUUUUUGUUGUUUCUGCUCUCUAUCCUCUUUUGUUUUUUUUUUUUUUUGCAGGUGCUUGUGGCAAGGUCAACGGUGCUAGGGAGCCAUGCCUUACAUUGCCAUUUUGGUGAAAGGAGAGGGAGAGACCUCGGGCAGCGCGUCUAUUGACGUGGCGAGGGAGUGACAUCGAAGCUUUCAAGGGUGAAACUAGGGUUUCUGUUAGUUUUUAAGGUUUUGGGCUUGGGUUGGUGUAGUGUUGGGCUUUAGGAUUUUAGGUUAGGUGAUGUAUUUGGGGCUUGGUUUGGGCUUGUAAGAUGAACUCUUAAUGGACUUGUUUUUUUUCGUUUAUCUGUUUUUUGUUUAUUUUUGUCUGGACCGAAUAAAAUUGGUCUGUUACACUAUCAUUUUUGAAAAGCCAAAC
rnacentral:lncRNA from 1 species